UAUUCGCUUAAUCUAGACGUUCGGAGUGUUUAGUGAAGUUUUCGUAUUUUGAGACGAUUUAGUCGGCAUUAGUUCGGGAUAGCGGAUUGAUAUUUAAUCAAGAAUUUUGAUAUUUUCAGUAAUAGAAAUAUUAUUGGAAUAAUAUUUGAAGUUUUGGGAAUUUUCUGAGUAAUUAAGAUUAGACCGUAGUUAUGAGAUUUUGAGUAUUCAGUCGGUAUAUUAAAAUAAUCAGAUUUUAUUUUAAUGGAAUUUAAAUGGUGGUAUUAUUUUUUUUAUUAAGAGUAGAAUAAAUUUUGGGUUCAAUUAAUGACAUUUCUAAGUAUUAAGGGGUAUAUUUGGUUAGGCCCAUUAAGUAGUGGUGGUCUCUUUUGUCACUUAAAAAAAAAAAGAAACAUAGUAAUAGAAAGAGAACCGAGGAAGAGAAAGGAAAAAUAAAGAAGGGAGGCUAGGGUUUGUGAAGAGGAGAAAAGGGGACCCAAAAGUGUUGCUCUAAAGUGCAAUUUUUCCCAAAAUCUCCAUUGAUUCUCCUUAAAGCUGCACUCAAUCUAAGGUACUCAAGUAUAGCUGUGGAAGUUUAUUGCUUCAUCGAGUCCAGUUUGUGUGUCGCUCUGAUACGUAGCACUCGGGGGGUUGCUUAUAUCGUUAUUUCUAGGUUGUUGAUGUUUUAGUUGUUGUUAUUAUAAUCGUUGAUUCAAAGUUGAAUAAUAUGAAGUACUUAUUAUAUUUCCAAGUUGUUUGGGUUGAGAUAAGCUGAUAGUUGACUGUUAAUUCGAAUGCUAUGUAUCAUUGUUGAAUGAAACACAAGUUGAAGUUUUUAGUUGAUAUGUGAUACUCCAAUUUGUUGUUUGAAAUUUUAAAUACUCUAAUAUUUUCUGCAAUAUAAUUUCGGAUAGAAUUUGGGGUGUUACAUUAGUGGUAUCAGAGCAGGUCGGUCCGUCCGGCCAUGUUGUCGAGUCAGUUGAGUUGUGUGACAAUUGAAUGUUGUCAGUGUUUUAUUCCUUAGUACACGACAUGUGUGUGAAACACUAUCGGUACUUGUUUUCUUUGUUGCAGGGAUUGGUUUGAUCCCAAGUGGGGGAGAAGUUUUACUUCUCGAAGAUGUUUCUGUUGUAAGGGAUGGUCAGGUAUGUUGUCAACAAGCGACGGUGCAAGUGUUGUUGAGAGUUUUGUAUGUUACCCAGAGUCGAAGACGAUGUGAAGUUAAGGAUAAUUUUGGGAGACAGAAGUUAGAGAGUGGGGAUGUUCAACACAGUUGAGGACUGAGAACUUGUCGGUGUGUUUAACCUUUGCGUCUGAUGCCGGUGUUUGACAAGUGUUAAAGUGAUAAAGCUACGGUAGACUUUAUGUUAGACUCGCAUAAGUGAUUGUCGGAUGUAGUUGAUGCGUGAAGUGUGGUGAAUCGUGAGUUCGAGUUGGAAAUUCGAAGGUGCGUGUAGCCGUGAAAAGAAUGGUUGUCUCGGUGAUGUUAAGACUGGAAUUUCGAUGAAAGAAUUCACCUCCUGAGUUAUGAAGAGUUUAAAGAUGAGAUGAAUUGUGAAGUACGAGUAUAGAAGUAAUUUUUGAGAUGGAAAGACAUUUGACGAUUGCGAGAUGCUAAGUGACUAUGAAGCGGGUUCAGUAAUAUGUUUGGGCGUUGGUGUCUCAUCGACGAGAUAUAAUGGGUAGGAAGUUGUGGGAGUUGUAAAAACCCAUAGUGAAUUAUUGGAUUAUGACGUGUUAAUUAAUUUGAGUGAAAAUUCAGAAAUGACGCUAUUAUGAAGUAACGACGAUUUAUACUCCAUUAUGAUUGUCGAAUACUAAUUGACAAAUUGGGGAACUGAUCACCCUCAAUCCAUUGUUAAUGGUAGGCGAAAAUCGUGUUGGAUGUUAUAGCUUUGUCUUGCUAUCUUAAUAGUGAGGAAAAAGUAUUGAUGUUGUAUCGCGAAGUUAGUCGUUCACUAGUUUAUGUAACUUGAUGAGAGGAGUGGUUGAGUAAGAGUUGGACGAAAUGAACAAUUUGGAGUAGCGAGUUUUGUGCAAGCGAAUGUCGCAAGGUGAAAGAUUUGGAAGUAACAGUGAAACGACGAUGUGGAAAUGAGUAUUAAGGAAAGUUUGCGUUGGAUUGAAAAAUUUGUGAACCAUACAGUUGACGGAGUUUUAACAAGGCAGUGACUUAAAAAAGAAUUAUCAGAGUUACGCAGCGGAAGCAUUGCAUUGCACUGUUGUUAUACGACUUAUAAGAAGUGAAGGACGAUAUGUCAGAAGACUGUGAAGUGUAGUUAUCUUGAUGUUUGGAUUGAUAGACUGUUGGGAUAAGUGCGAUGAGCCAGGAUGCUGCAUUGGGUAGUAGAUUAUUGUGAAUCUGGUAAGAAUAGAUAUGUGUUUGUGUUAUUGUGGAAUCGUUGUUGUGCCGAAGAAGUAGUGAUUGAAGUGUUACAAAACGUGAUUUGGAUAUUUGAGGAUUGGAUACGAGUUUUGGUUGCGAUGGUGUUGACAAGUAGAUUUUCGAGGACGAAAAUAUUCUAAGUGGGGGAGAGUUGUAACGCCCGGAAAUUCGAUUAUUCGCUUAAUCUAGACGUUCGGAGUGUUUAGUGAAGUUUUCGUAUUUUGAGACGAUUUAGUCGGCAUUAGUUCGGGAUAGCGGAUUGAUAUUUAAUCAAGAAUUUUGAUAUUUUCAGUAAUAGAAAUAUUAUUGGAAUAAUAUUUGAAGUUUUGGGAAUUUUCUGAGUAAUUAAGAUUAGACCGUAGUUAUGAGAUUUUGAGUAUUCAGUCGGUAUAUUAAAAUAAUCAGAUUUUAUUUUAAUGGAAUUUAAAUGGUGGUAUUAUUUUUUUUAUUAAGAGUAGAAUAAAUUUUGGGUUCAAUUAAUGACAUUUCUAAGUAUUAAGGGGUAUAUUUGGUUAGGCCCAUUAAGUAGUGGUGGUCUCUUUUGUCACUUAAAAAAAAAAAGAAACAUAGUAAUAGAAAGAGAACCGAGGAAGAGAAAGGAAAAAUAAAGAAGGGAGGCUAGGGUUUGUGAAGAGGAGAAAAGGGGACCCAAAAGUGUUGCUCUAAAGUGCAAUUUUUCCCAAAAUCUCCAUUGAUUCUCCUUAAAGCUGCACUCAAUCUAAGGUACUCAAGUAUAGCUGUGGAAGUUUAUUGCUUCAUCGAGUCCAGUUUGUGUGUCGCUCUGAUACGUAGCACUCGGGGGGUUGCUUAUAUCGUUAUUUCUAGGUUGUUGAUGUUUUAGUUGUUGUUAUUAUAAUCGUUGAUUCAAAGUUGAAUAAUAUGAAGUACUUAUUAUAUUUCCAAGUUGUUUGGGUUGAGAUAAGCUGAUAGUUGACUGUUAAUUCGAAUGCUAUGUAUCAUUGUUGAAUGAAACACAAGUUGAAGUUUUUAGUUGAUAUGUGAUACUCCAAUUUGUUGUUUGAAAUUUUAAAUACUCUAAUAUUUUCUGCAAUAUAAUUUCGGAUAGAAUUUGGGGUGUUACAGAAAACCAACGGAAUCGUUCAACAAUAAGAACAAAACAACAUAAAAAAAUGAAAAUUAAAACUCAUUAAAACCAAAACAGUAACAAACAAACCACGUCAAUGAACCACAUACAAUCAUCACACUUAUCACAAUAUAAUUUAUCUAUUUUCUUUUCAUCCUAUUACAAAAAUUAAUUGCACUCUGAUUACAAAAAUUGUACUUACAUUUGUAUUAAUUCUUACAUACUCUAUAAUUGUACUUACAAAAAUGGCAGAAAUGAACUAAAAAUAAUGAUUUGAAAACCCUGAUGACAGUUUUUCCCUUGAUCAGAUGAGUUUUAAUGAAAACCCUAGCAAAGUACAUAACUGUAGAAAAUCAAACCAAGAUGUCAGUUGGUUUGUUAUGAAGUUGCUUGAUCUCAUUCCACCCUCGUAUCUAAACAACAUAAGACCAAAAUAAUAGAAUAUAAGAAAAAACCUCAUCAAAAUCAAAACAAUAACAAACAAACAUACCUGUUGAGUUACAACAUGUAUGUCACCACCCUGUGCAACACAAAAAAUAAUAUUAGACAGA